rnacentral:rRNA from 1 species
GAUGAACGCUUGCGGUAUGCUUAACUCAUGCGAGUCGAACGGGAAUCCUUCGGGAUUCUAGUGGCGGACGGGUGAGUAACGCGUGAGAAUCUGGCCUCAGGUUGGGGACAACAGCGGGAGACGGCUGCUAAUACCCAAUAUGCCCAAAGGUGAAAGAUUAAUUGCCUGAGGGGGAGCUCGCGUCCGAUUAGCUAGUUGGUGGGGUGAAGGCUUACCAAGGCAGCGAUCGGUAGCUGGUCUGAGAGGACGAGCAGCCACACUGGGACUGAGACACGGCCCAGACUCCUACGGGAGGCAGCAGUGGGGAAUUUUCCGCAAUGGGCGAAAGCCUGACGGAGCAAUACCGCGUGAGGGAGGAAGGCUCUUGGGUUGUAAACCUCUUUUCUGAGGGAAGAAAUUUGACGGUACCUGAGGAAUCAGCAUCGGCUAACUCCGUGCCAGCCGCCGCGGUAA